UAGGGAAUCUUCCGCAAUGGGCGAAAGCCUGACGGAGCAACGCCGCGUGAGUGAUGAAGGUCUUCGGAUCGUAAAACUCUGUUAUUAGGGAAGAACAAAUGUGUAAGUAACUAUGCACGUCUUGACGGUACCUAAUCAGAAAGCCACGGCUAACUACGUGCCAGCAGCCGCGGUAAUACGUAGGUGGCAAGCGUUAUCCGGAAUUAUUGGGCGUAAAGCGCGCGUAGGCGGUUUUUUAAGUCUGAUGUGAAAGCCCACGGCUCAACCGUGGAGGGUCAUUGGAAACUGGAAAACUUGAGUGCAGAAGAGGAAAGUGGAAUUCCAUGUAUAGCGGUGAAAUGCGCAGAGAUAUGGAGGAACACCAGUGGCGAAGGCGACUUUCUGGUCUGUAACUGACGCUGAUGUGCGAAAGCGUGGGGAUCAAACAGG
rnacentral:rRNA from 1 species